rnacentral:rRNA from 1 species
UACGUAGGCAGCAAGCGUUGUUCGGAGUUACUGGGCGUAAAGGGUGUGUAGGCGGUUGUUUAAGUUUGGGGUGAAAUCUCCCGGCUCAACUGGGAGGGUGCGCCGAAUACUGAAUGACUUGGAGUGCGGGAGAGGAAAGUGGAAUUCCUGGUGUAGCGGUGAAAUGCGUAGAUAUCAGGAGGAACACCGGUGGUGUAGACGGCUUUCUGGACCGUAACUGACGCUGAGACACGAAAGCGUGGGUAGCAAACAGG